AGAUUCAGAACUCGUGUUCGAAGCCUGUAGCCCAGCAAUGGGAGAGGGCUAAAGGCUUUAAACACGAGUUCUGAAUCU
rnacentral:miRNA from 1 species